rnacentral:rRNA from 1 species
CAGCCGCCGCGGGAAAACAGAGGGUGCAAGCGUUAAUCGGAAUUACUGGGCGUAAAGCGCGCGUAGGUGGUUUGUUAAGUUGGAUGUGAAAGCCCCGGGCUCAACCUGGGAACUGCAUCCAAAACUGGCAAGCUAGAGUACGGUAGAGGGUGGUGGAAUUUCCUGUGUAGCGGUGAAAUGCGUAGAUAUAGGAAGGAACACCAGUGGCGAAGGCGACCACCUGGACUGAUACUGACACUGAGGUGCGAAAGCGUGGGGAGCAAACAGGAUUAGAUACCCGGGUAGUCCCUGUCUCUUAUAC